rnacentral:rRNA from 1 species
AGAGCGAACGCUGGCGGCAUGCUUAACACAUGCAAGUCGCACGGGCAUUUCGGUGUCAGUGGCGGACGGGUGAGUAACGCGUAGGUAUCUAUCUCCGGGUGGGGGACAACUGUGGGAAACUACAGCUAAUACCGCAUGAUACCCGAGGGUCAAAGGCGCAAGUCGCCUGGAGAGGAGCCUGCGUACGAUUAGCUAGUUGGCGGGUAAAGGCCCACCAAGGCGACGAUCGUUAGCUGGUCUGAGAGGAUGAUCAGCCACAUUGGGACUGAGACACGGCCCAAACUCCUACGGGAGGCAGCAGUGGGGAAUAUUGGACAAUGGGCGAAAGCCUGAUCCAGCAAUGCCGCGUGUGUGAAGAAGGUCUUCGGAUUGUAAAGCACUUUCGACAGGGACGAUGAUGACGGUACCUGUAGAAGAAGCCCGGCUAACUUCGUGCCAGCAGCCGC